rnacentral:rRNA from 1 species
AUUGAACGCUGGCGGCAUGCCUUACACAUGCGAGUCGAACGGCAGCACGGGGCAACCUGGUGGCGAGUGGCGAACGGGUGAGUAAUGCAUCGGAACGUACCUUUCAGUGGGGGAUAACGUAGCGAAAGUUACGCUAAUACCGCAUAUUCUGUGAGCAGGAAAGCAGGGGAACGCAAGACCUUGCGCUGAUUGAGCGGCCGAUGUCAGAUUAGCUAGUUGGUGAGGUAAAGGCUCACCAAGGCGACGAUCUGUAGCGGGCCUGAGAGGAUGAUCCGCCACACUGGAACUGAGACACGGUCCAGACUCCUACGGGAGGCAGCAGUGGGGAAUUUAGGACAAUGGGGGCAACCCUGAUCCAGCCAUGCCGCGUGAGUGAAGAAGGCCUUCGGGUUGUAAAGCUCUUUCGGCCGGGAAGAAAUCGCACGGGCUAAUACCCUGUGUGGAUGACGGUACCGGAAUAAGAAGCACCGGCUAACUACGUGCCAGCAGCCGCAGUAAUAC